AUUGAACGCUGGCGGCAUGCCUUACACAUGCAAGUCGAACGGCAGCACGGGUGCUUGCACCUGGUGGCGAGUGGCGAACGGGUGAGUAAUAUAUCGGAACGUACCUUAUUGUGGGGGAUAACGCAGCGGAAGCUGUGCUAAUACCGCAUAAUCCCUAAGGGGGAAAGCGGGGGACCGUAAGGCCUCGCGCAAUUAGAGCGGCCGAUACCUGAUUAGCUAGUUGGUGAGGUAAAGGCUCACCAAGGCAACGAUCAGUAGCUGGUCUGAGAGGACGAUCAGCCACACUGGGACUGAAACACGGCCCAGACUCCUACGGGAGGCAGCAGUGGGGAAUUUUGGACAAUGGGGGCAACCCUGAUCCAGCAAUGCCGCGUGAGUGAAGAAGGCCUUCGGGUUGUAAAGCUCUUUUGUCAGGGAAGAAACAGCAGCUCUAACACAGUAUGCGAAUGACGGUACCUGAAGAAUAAGCACCGGCUAACUACGUGCCAGCCGCCGCCGUAA
rnacentral:rRNA from 1 species